GGCGGAAGGUGGUGAAAUUAUCCUGCAAUUAACAAACUACUAAGGUCAGGUGUAGUAGGGACGCCAGACAACAGUUAGACAAGAAAGUUAACAAGCCUAUAUUCAAAUAAAACAACCAGGAGAGUUAGCUACGUUUUCCCGUGUUGAGUAAGCUAGCACUAAUGUAGCAUGGAUAUCUGGAGUUUCGGUGAAAAGCAACUUCCCAGUUACCGCGGACUGAAAGAGAAUCGGACGGGAAGGACUUCAAAACUGUGUAACGUUACCGUCAGAAGAAAGGGUUCCUAUUUGAUUAAGAGAUGGCAGAUGGAGAGAUGGACGGAGAGGUGACAGAACGGACCUCUCGUUCAUGUGUGUGAAUGUGGCGCUGACAGCUCUGAUGACUGAUGGGAGGAGACAGGUGGAGAGGUUCUGCACUGCUUACCUAUAAACUACUGCUUUAUGGAGGAAAAUCCUAGUUCCUUGGUUUCUCGUCGCUGCUCCAGUUGGGUGUGACCCUGGGAGGGGGCUCAGGGUCAACUCAAGGAUUUAUUCCCCGGUGAUACUCCUCGGUGCAC